CCUUGUCAAUUCGGACGACUCGAGUAGUAUCAGAUUAUCGAGUUCGAGUCAUGUUCCAUGUUGGGUUCCUGCCAUCUCAAUUCCAACUUCUUUUGAUCGAAAACCAUCGCCAAUUCGCAGCCAAGGUCGCCGGAAUUCGUCUCUUGAAUGGAUUUCUCCGAGCAAGAUGUAGAUAUAUUCGGCGAAGAGCUCCAGAAUGAAGACAACAACGACAACGACAACGACCACCAGAAACUGGUGUUAGUUAUAAUCUUCUCAGUUUAUUAGCUAUAAUCCUAUGAACUGGUGUUGAAGAAGAAGUUUAUGCAGCCAUCUACAAAUGUUAUAGGAAAUUCCAAGCACCAUCUCUGGAAAUACGUCGAUGUGCGUAUUCGAGGUAUGGUUUAUCUCUUUCUAACUUCUGACUUCCCGACUUGCUCCAGAGGUUGAAUUCCUUUUUCAUAUGUGGAUAAUUUGUAGGGUAAUUUAUUAAUUUUUAUGGCCCUUAUCUUAGCGAGAGAAAGACUUGUGCAAUCCCGUUUAUGGACGGGUUUUUCUUUAAAAUCUGGAUUAGUUUCUGCCUUACGCAUUUCUGAGAAUUUGAUCUUCAUUAGAAUUUUUGGAAGCCCUAGAGUUGAAGAACUAUUGUAUAUGAAGUCUCAAUUUCGACUUUCUCGUUGUCUUUCUACUUCUGUACACACUACGAAAUUGUCAUGGGGAGGUUCCUCUUAUGAAGUGCUCUUGGGGAAGUUGGAAACUGCUUUAAAAGAUCAUCAAACCGAUGAAGCAUGGGAGUUGUUUGAUGAUUUCAGAAGGUUAUAUGGUUUUCCAAAGGACAACGUUUUGCUUAUGUUGGUUUCUCAAUUGUCAUAUACUUCUGAUUGCAAUAAGUUAAAGAAGGCAUGUAACUUGGUUUUUCAAAUUUGGAAAGAGAAGCCAAUUGUAUUGCAACUUGAUGUCUUAACUAAACUUGCCCUCACAUUGGCAAGAUCCCAAAUGCCAAUUCUCGCUUCGAAGAUUCUUAGAUUGAUGUUAGAGACGAAGAGAUUACCGCGAAUGGAACUGUUGCAGUUGGUUAUACUGCACAAGGUGAAGACAGAGGUUGGAACAUAUCUUGCUUCCAAUAUAUUGGUCCAGAUAUGUGAUUGUUUCUUACAACAGGUUGCAAAUAGGAAUGAUCAAGCGAAGUUGAUGAAACCAGAUACCAUGGUCUUUAACUUGGUGUUCGAUGCCUGUGUCAAGUUUAAAUUAUCUUUUAAGGGCCAGCAGUUGGUGGAAUUAAUGUCUCAAACUGGGGUUGUUGCUGAUGCACAUACAAUUGUCCUAAUUGCCAAGAUUUAUGACAUGAAUGGACAAAGAGAUGAUAUAAUGAAUUUCAAAAUCCAUAUUGACCAAGUUUCACCUUCAUUAGUUUGUCAUUAUUGUCAGUUUUAUGAUAGCUUGUUGAGCUUGCACUUUAAGUUUAAUGAUUUCGAGUCUGCUGCUAAUCUCGUGCUGGAAACUUGUCGAUUUGGCGAGUCUCCUAGGAUUCAAAAACAUUGGAGGGACUCACAAAAGUCUAGCCUUAUUCCAAUUGGAUCACACCAUCUAAAGGCUGGAUUGAAGAUAAAGAUUAUGCCAGAAUUGCUACAGAAGGAUUCGGUUCUCAAUGUGGAAGCCAAACCAGAGUUUAUAAAUUAUAAUAAUGGAAAACUUGUUUCCAGUAAAAAGACUCUUUCGAAACUCGUUAUCGAAUUCAAGAGACUUGGAAAAACUUCUGAGCUCUCAAAACUUUUACUUCAAGUUCAAAAAGGAUUGGCAUCGACCGAAGGAUCCAACUUAUGUUCUGCCGUAGUUAAAACUUGCAUUUAUUUAGGUUGGCUCGAGAUUGCCCAUGACAUUUUGGACGACGUGGAAACAGCUGGCUCAGCAGUUGACUCCGCAGUGUACUUCUUGCUCUUGAAAGCAUAUUACAACCAAGAAAUGCUCAGGGAAGCAGAUGUACUGCAAAAACAAAUGGCAAAGGUUGGCUUGUCCACCGAUACCACAGCAGACAUGGUUAGCUCUACAUAUUCUCCAAAAUUAGCUAAUCGAACUUCGUCACAGGAUAAWCCUCCAACUACUCAUGAAACAUCUCUAGUUGAAUCUCUAGUUCAAGAGAUGAAAGAGACUAGUGCAAUUUCUCCUAGAGUUUACAAGCUCAAUUCUUCUAUCUACUUUUUCUGCAAGGCCAAAAUGAUUGAGGAUGCCUUACAGGCAUACAAAAGAAUGCAACAGAUCAGUAUUCAACCUACUUUGCAAACUUUCGCCAAUCUAGCAUUCGGGUUUUCUUCUUUGCAAAUGUAUCGCGACAUCACGAUUCUAUGGGGAGACAUGAAGAGGAAUAUAGGGAGCAGAAAUUUUGUUAUGAGCAGAGAACUCUAUGAGUUCUUAUUGCUAUGCUUCCUUCAAGGUGGUUACUUUGAGAGAGUGAUGGAAAUUGCUGGCCAUAUGGAGGAGCAGAAGAUGUUCACUGACAAAGGGAUGUACAAAAGUGAGUUCCUAAAGCUUCAUAAGAAUCUUUAUAGGAGCUUAAAGCCAUCAGAAGCCAGAACUGAGGCACAAAAGAAGAGGUUGGAGUAUGUAAGAGCAUUCAAAAAAUGGGUUGGUAUUUGUUGAACUUAUAGUCAAGAAAGUGCAUUGCUUCUCAGGAGCCUUGUGAACUUGCUUGCUGUAGUCGUGGAGAUAUCUAUUUUGAUGACUGCAGCUUGGUUUCAUUUCAAGCCUUCAGAAUGGAACUGUCACCAAAGUUGAUCUAGAAGUCACAAUGAAGAGGCGAGCGAGUUGAAUUCCUUCUACCUUAGUUUCAAUUCUGACAAUGAUUAGAGCGGUGACAGAUCCAGAAUUUGAUGUCGGGGGCAUAAAUGUAUACAAAUAUAAUGGGAAAUUAUCAAGUUUAUGUCUGUACCUGGCAAUGUAUAUCAAUUUACUAUCUUACAAUUGGAUAAGUAUGUAUAUCAAUUUACUAUCUUACAAUUGGAUAAGUAUGUAAUUUUCAUCUG